ACCAGGAUUGAUGCUGUUCCGAGCAGAACAUUAUCCUGGAUAAGCAUAUCCUUACUUUAUAUAUUCAAGUGUCUUGCUCUUUUUUAGACUAUUUUCUCUGAAACUCUGACCCUCUUGAAAACCCAAGUUUUGCAUUGGAGUUCUAUCCAAAUGAAAGAUAUGGCUGCUGCCAGGAAGAGAUGGGAAGCUCUGGUGUUUUGAAUCCCAAAGUAACAGCAUUUACGUCUUUCUUUUGGGCCUGGAGUAGAUGGGUUAGUCAGGGAAGAAAAAGUGAAAGUUCCUACACCUGGGGAAGCUGGGUAUGCAAUUCAGCUAUCUAACAAAACCCCACCUGAUGUUCAUCCCUCUACUGAACACAAAAUGGUGGACAGGUCUACUCUCACUUUUUGUUUUUGAAUAUUAUUUUUGGCUCAAUGCUUAUCAGUUCCACAUAAACAUGCAAUAUCAUUCAACAAAUUUUAUGCGUUUUAUAGUUUAUUUGGUGAUUGUUGUGAUAGCUUGCAAUAGUGGUAAAGACCAUAUAUUGCCCGCAUCUUAUCCAAUUAUUGUGGUAGAUUAAUUAGUCUCAUGUAAAUAUUUCUCAUUGCUAAACUGGUUCUCUCAAUUUUUUACUCUUGUACUAUGUUCUAUUCCUUUUUCCUUUUCUUAGGACAUUAUUACAAAGAAUAAUGUCUCUACCAUGACUCCUGAAUUAUCAUUUCCUUUUCCCUCUUUUGAUGGCAUGGGUUAAAGGCUCAACCUGUAUUCCAAUCUUUGAUGUUGAUAACAAGCUUGACGCUGGAACUCAGUUGCGACAUAUCACAACUUUUGUGAUGGGUAUCGAACAACUAUUUCUAUCCUGCCUUCCAUACUUGAUUUUGGUUUUAAUGCAUCAGUAGUAAAGGAUCACAUCAUGAAUACUUAUAUAUAUAAAAAAAAAGGAUCACAUCAUGAAUGGUCAUUGAUUAACAUCAAUAUAAUGUCUCACUUGCAUCAAGAUAGCAGUAAUUGUGGUGUUUGGAGGCUUGUAUGACAUGGAAUAUGCCAUAUUUGACUAUAAUGAAAACGUAGUUCCUUUGAAACUUUUUUUGGGUUUUAAUAAAAUAGGGAACCUUUCAAAAGAAUAUCCCUUUGGAGUCACCUCAAACUAGUAAGACUUAUGGGUAACUGACCCCAUCUGCCAAAACUAGGUGCCAAGUAAUCUAGGUGCGUUCACCCUUGAUGGGUUUAGCAUUUUAUGCUCAUGCCCAAGAGACUCCUUUGAAUUAUUAGGAUAAGUUUCCUUGGAGGCAUGGACUUUGUAUGUAUUAUGUUUCGUUAUUCUCAGAAAAUCAUUACAUUCACGAAUAUAUAACAAAGAUUUUAUGUUGUCUGCUUUAUUAUGUCUCCCAACUUUUCACACAGGCCCUGCUUAUUCUUGUAUUGUGUGAAUAUAUAUAAUAGUAUAUUUAGAAUUGAAUGUGUGGAAUUGACGGGACUGUUUGAAAUUCAAGGAAUGUCCGAAUAACGCUAAACCAUUGGCUGAAAAGGCUUUUAGUAAUGGUGAUAGAAGUUAAUUUCUUAGCCUAUGAAGAUUGCACUAGUCAAUGCUUAUAUUUUCUUCACAAAAACUAUCUUAUGGAGAGAUCUUAGCGAUCCAUUAAAGCCAUAGAGGCUGAGUCAUCACUGAGCAUGAAACACUAAUAUAAGGGAUAAGCAAGUAUAAUGUAUACUUCCAGUUUUGCAGAUUUUUAUUUAUUUAUUUAUUUUUUUAUGAAUUCAAUUCAGUUGUAAACCAUGUGAUCUCUCUGCAGACAGUGGCUGUCCCUUGGUCAGGUUCUAUAUUACUUACCUCUGUUGCUUGUUUAGGUUUGAAUUCAUGUUCUUGGAAUAACAUGAAUUCCAACCUAAACAAGCAACAGAGGUAAGUCAUUUAGAACUUGACUAGAUGUUGAAUAACAUGAAUUCCAACCUAAACAAGCAACAGAGGUAAGUCAUUUAGAACUUGACUAGAUGUUGAAGAAUCAUACUUGAAUAUAAUAAUGGGUGUAACAAACAGAAUGUUGUAUGCUAUUUCAUCACCUCUCAUUCUGGACUAUAUUACACUGGCAGAUCUCUAUAGCUGCUUGUGAACUAAUGUAUAAUGCUGGAGAGGAAGUAUUUGUUAUGAGUGGUCGAGGGACUUCUUUUUUAUAAUGAUUCUAUUUCACGUUCUUUCUUAUUUUUAUGAUUAGUAAUAAAUUCCCUUUUCUUUCUUAUUGCUUUCUGUCGAUCAAAGAUGAAUUGGUGAAUAAUAUAAUGAGUUUCAUCUUGUGUGGUGCAGGAUCUUAUGACUUUUCAGAGAAGGUCCUCAACCUUUUAAACUUUGUGGAAUUGGCAGGGGCUUUGAAUUUCUUGGAGUACUUUGUUUUUCUCCUCUUUUGGCAUGGAUGAACAGAUGACUAAAUCUUUGGAUUAUCAUUUGCAUGAUCCAAGGGAAAGCGUGGUUUGGCAAUCACAAUCAGAUCAGCUAUCCUAUGCA